rnacentral:hammerhead_ribozyme from 1 species
AGUCCCAAAUAGGACGAAAUGCGCGUCCUGGAU